GACGAACGCUGGCGGCGUGCUUAACACAUGCAAGUCGAACGAAGAGCGACGGAAGCUUGCUUCUAUCAAUCUUAGUGGCGAACGGGUGAGUAACGCGUAAUCAACCUGCCCUUCAGAGGGGGACAACAGUUGGAAACGACUGCUAAUACCGCAUACGAUCUAACCUCGGCAUCGAGGAUAGAUGAAAGGUGGCCUCUACAUGUAAGCUAUCACUGAAGGAGGGGAUUGCGUCUGAUUAGCUAGUUGGAGGGGUAACGGCCCACCAAGGCGAUGAUCAGUAGCCGGUCUGAGAGGAUGAACGGCCACAUUGGGACUGAGACACGGCCCAGACUCCUACGGGAGGCAGCAGUGGGGAAUCUUCCGCAAGAGACGAAAGUCUGACGGAGCAACGCCGCGUGAGUGAUGACGGCCUUCGGGUUGUAAAGCUCUGUUAAUCGGGACGAAAGGCCUUCUUGCGAAUAGUGAGAAGGAUUGACGGUACCGGAAUAGAAAGCCACGGCUAACUACGUG
rnacentral:rRNA from 1 species